rnacentral:rRNA from 1 species
UGAGGAAUAUUGGUCAAUGGUCGGGAGACUGAACCAGCCAAGCCGCGUGAGGGAUGAAGGUACAGAGUAUCGUAAACCUCUUUUGUCAGGGAACAAAGGCGGGGACGUGUCCCCGGAUGAGUGUACCUGAAGAAAAAGCAUCGGCUAACUCCGUGCCAGCAGCCGCGGUAAUACGGAGGAUGCGAGCGUUAUCCGGAUUUAUUGGGUUUAAAGGGUGCGUAGGCGGUCCGUUAAGUCAGCGGUAAAAUUGCGGGGCUCAACCCCGUCGAGCCGUUGAAACUGGCAGACUUGAGUUGGCGAGAA